rnacentral:lncRNA from 10 species
UGAGCCACCGCGCCCGGCCAACCAAGAUUCUUUUGUCUGGAAUAUGGAAGGCAACUUUCCCCAGGGGUUCCUUCAGGAGAACUUACAAGGUCAUGGGCCACAAGUUUCCUUCCCAUAGACUUUGCUAUUUCUGGCUCUUCAUUGGAGUGCAGUAGAUCUGGGGGUCACUGAAGAAGCUUGUUGGGAUGGGCAUACUGUGAAAAGGGAGCUCACUGGUGGCAGAAAUGGGGUAACACAGACAUGCAUUACCAUGCCCAGCUAAUUUUUUGAUUUUUUUGUAGAGACAGGGUCUCACUUUGUUGCCCAGGCUGGUCUUGAACUCCUAGUCUCAAGCUCGGCCUACUGAGGUGUUCCUGUUACUCUCUGAAGUGACAACCUUUCAACUGUUUGAAUGAAUAUUAUAAAUGUGGCAUCAUAACCCAGCCAGCAGUGGAGGGUGAGGAAGGAAGAAUUAAUCUGAUACCUUUAAACCUCGGAAAACCUCCAAGUCCUGUGGAAUUGCACUCUUAAUAAAGACCCUGAAAUCCUUAGACUACCUGAAAAUGUGCCAUUUAACUGCCUUGGGCCUUGAGAAUUAAAGUCCGCACCCACAAAGUGCCGGCCCCACAAGAACUUUUUAUGAAAGAGAAUUAGGAGGCCUUCACA